AUGCGACGUACCACGCACGCGCGCCCUAAUAAAAUAAAAAGACCAAGAAACCACACACGAUCGUCCAACGCAUCACCUCGCUACCCUCAAAAGAUGGCCGGCUGGACCUCCAUCCCGGCGGAGCUCCUCGCGGAAAUCUCCGGCCGCCUGCCAGGCAACGCGGACCGGAUCCACAUCCAUCAGGUAUGCUCCCACUGGCGCGCAUCCACUUCCCGGCUGGCCGCCUGCCGUCCAUGGAUCGUCGCCGGCCGCGAACCAUGGAGCCUGGUUGGCCCGGUCGGCGAACACUCGUUUUGGCUGCCCCUUGGCGGCCGACGGGUCUAUUUGAGCACGCCGGCGGGCCUACCAUACUGCUGCGGCACGCCCCUUGGCUGGCUUGCUCUCAUGGACAACCUGCAAUCCCCAACGCGGUUUGUCCUCCGGGAGCCCCUCUCCGAAGCUGAGAUCUUUCUGCCCUGUUUUCCCGCCGUUGUCCAAGUCUUCCUCUCAGGGGACCCGCUCACCUCGCCUGAUUGGAUGGCGAUCGCGAGCCAGAAGCUCUACACUACUGGCACUUGCAUGGGCCAGACGCUCUUCUUCUGGCGGCCUGGAGAUGCCGCAUGGACUAUGCAGCUCGAGCGGCCAAACGGCAGAAUCGAUAGCGCGGCAUUCCAUCAGGGGAAAUUCUACUUCACCGAGAUCGGUUCCCUGGCGGUGGCAGGCCGACGUGGUAUGUGGUCGCAUUCAAUGGCGAAUUGCUGCUGGUUGUGA
rnacentral:rRNA from 1 species